rnacentral:sRNA from 1 species
GUCCGGUGCACCUUCACGUUCAACGUCGGCUUCUUCGUUUUCUUUGACUUUUGUUGCCAUUUAUUCGUCGCUUUCCUUGUCGCAACCGGCCGGCGCCCGGUAAUCAAUGCCACUCGGAGGUCCGGGCACGCCGCG